UCCAGGAAAUUGUUAAUUUUUUAUUUCAAUUGCUUUUAUGUUGUAGAUAUCUAGCUGAACUCAAUAUAUUUUCUUUUUGUCUUUCUCUCUCUCUCUCUCUGUAGAAGUUGGAGUAACAGUUGCAGUUGUGAAUCAAUCCAAUCUUCGAAAAAUGGCUCAGAUAACCACCUUUGAUGACAUUCUAGGAAUUCACGAUCUGGAUGUGCAGGGAGCACAGAUCCGUGGCCUGAGAGAUAGGCUUGGACUCGAAAGCGUCGAAAUCCAUACCAAAAGGAAAGUAAGCUUUCAGCACGACCCAAAUAUACCAGUCUCAAAAAUAGUAAAUGCUCUGGAACGUCUGGGCUUGAAGACGGAGUCCUGGACAACUUCCAAGUUAUAACCGUACUUUGAAAUGGCCACCUGUUAGGCAUGGUAGCUGUGAAUGAGAGGAUUAGGUUGUUUAUAAUAGUUUAUAUUGAUGUCUGCCAUCUCUCUGGUGUACGUUUUACUAUUGUUAUAUGUUCUAUUGGUUUAGAGACUUCAAAGACUCCAAACGGUGAAAUAUUUGAAAGACUAAAGAGUUCAAAUACUAGGUACCACCAAAACACUGUUUUUGAGCUUAAAUACAGGUGAUUGAAAUAGAAAUUAUCUCGGUGGCAUUGGAUGCAGUUGUUA